rnacentral:rRNA from 1 species
UACGAAGGGGGGCUAGCGUUGCUCGGAAUGACUGGGCGUAAAGGGCGCGUGAGCGGUUCAUACAGUCAGAUGUGAAAUUCCCGGGCUUAACCUGGGGGGCUGCAUUUGAUACGUGUGGGCUUGAGUGAGGAAGAGGGUUGUGGAAUUCCCAGUGUAGAGGUGAAAUUCGUAGAUAUUGGGAAGAACACCGGUGGCGAAGGCGGCGACCUGGUCCUUGACUGACGCUGAGGCGCGAAAGCGUGGGGAGCAAACAGG